UGAGUUCAAUGCACCCUAUGAUGUCAAUUUCAGCCAUGAUGGAUUUUCCGCUAUAUUGAAUUUUAUCAAAAACACACAAUGGCUUCCUGGUCACAAAUUU